CGCCUCUCGCGCACUGGGCUGCCGCAGCCUGAUAGCGCUCGGACCCCGCUGCUCCUGUUAUGCUGGUGCCCGGCCCAGGAAGGCUGGAAUCGGCGUGGCGGGGUCCGCACACCUGGCCCGAAUGGGAGAGGAAGAGGGGAGAGGACCGGGCCACGUGGAGGAAGAGAAAGGCCCGAGAGCCACUGAGCGCCGUGGAGAGCCAGCCAGGGCUGGAGAGAGUCGGCGGCAGAGUUGAGGAGCGCCGGCCAGCUGUCGAGAGCCCAAGAGGAAGUUGUUCAGAGAGGCAGCCCGUCCGACAACGCCGCAGAGAGGAAGCUGAAGGGAGCUGAGAACAAAACCCAAAAGUCACAGAAACUACGGGAACCGAAGAAAAAACAGGCCGAGACAGCAGGUGCUUUUUCAGUCUCUUUUUUUUUUUCAACCCACACAGACGUUAAAUUUCUUUUUGUUUCAUUCAUUCAUGGUUUUUGCUUUGUUUUUGUUGUGUUUUUCUUGUUCCAGAUGAGAGCAGAACACAAGGCAGAGAAUAAAGGUUACACACCACAAUUUCAAACCAGGGUUGGUGGGUU